ACGUAGGAGGCGAGCGUUAUCCGGAAUUACUGGGCGUAAAGGGCAUGCAGGCGGCUUGGUAAGUUGGACGUGAAAGCUCCUGGCUUAACUGGGAGAGUGCGUUCGAAACUGCUGAGCUUGAGGCUGGGAGAGGGGUGUGGAAUUCCCGGUGUAGUGGUGGAAUGCGUAGAUAUCGGGAGGAACACCAGUGGCGGAAGCGGCACCCUAGACCAGGCCUGACGCUGAUAUGCGAAAGCGUGGGGAGCAAACAG
rnacentral:rRNA from 1 species